UAAAUAUAUUGUCAGUCAUAUCAUAUUAUUCAAUUGAUUGUCUGAUCUCUAUCGACUCUUUCAAUGCUUCCCCCACUAAUAACUCCACACGAUGACUAAAGUCGUUGCCGUCUCAUUCAUCCUGCUAGUAACCGUUACCAGUGGCGAAUUGUAGGAUGAAUCUUUACCUACGGAUCAACUGUUAUAGUCCAGAAUCUACAUCAAUACUGAGCCAAAUGUUAGCACGGAGAAAACUACACCAAGCAAAGGUGUACUGCUAGAUGACGGAAAAGUACCCGAUCUGAUUCUGUCGCUAGCAAAGACUACUCUGGAGAUGUAGAAGAUGACGUCAUCAUCAUAGAUGUUUAUGCCAGUGCGCCAGAAGAAUAGAUCGGCAGAAGUGAAUGUUGAGAGGUAGAGCUGGUUGUCAGGGGACUGGAAGUUUGAAACAGAGUUCGCAUCUCUAGUACCAUAGCCGACAGUGUUGAUAGUUACUACUAUGAACCAGUCGGUUAAAUUCCAGUCAAAAAACGAGGUGCUUUAUUUCUUGGAAAUGGGUGGCUAGCACAAGAAGGGAAACACUGGUAGUGGCAGUGAUUCUAAUCCAUCUGAGAUCCUCCAAAGCGAAAAACAGAAAAAGAGCGGCUUGAAGACAAAGAAGGUUACUUUUUUUUUUACUUCUAUUAUGGGACUCCGUAUCAGAGCAUGUGUUGGGUUCAAAUGGAUACAUCUGCAGAUGCGUGGAUACCUUUUUGUAAUUGUAGCCUGGUUCCUGGAACCAGGAAACAAGAACGGAAUGCUGUCUUCUCAAGCUUAACAAAGCAGAAGCGAAGGAACACAUAAACAGGGAGUUAAGCGGCUAUACUGACCUUUCUCCAUAUCUAUCUAGACUAGAUAGUGUGUCAAUCGUAUCUGAAUUGGCCUAACUUUUUUUUUUGUUUUAGUAAAGGGAUCUCAUAGUUGUUGAUAACUUCAUGUUUUUGCAAAGGAAUAGGCAAAAGUUGCUUCACCUAAAUCUGUUCAUGAUGUAAUAGUAUGGUCGGCUCUUGGUGCCAUUGAACUCAUAUUUUAAAAUUAAUUAGUUUCCAAUGAAUUUGAAGAAUUUUAGU